CUACGGGGCGCAGCAGUGAGGAAUAUUGCACAAUGGGGGGAACCCUGAUGCAGCAACGCCGCGUGGAGGAUGACGCAUUUCGGUGUGUAAACUCCUUUUAUAUGUCAAGAAAAUGACGGUAGCAUAUGAAUAAGCACCGGCUAACUCCGUGCCAGCAGCCGCGGUAAUAGCGGAGGGUGCAAGCGUUACUCGGAAUCACUGGGCGUAAAGGACGCGUAGGCGGGGUGGAAAGUCAGGUGUGAAAUCCUACAGCUUAACUGUAGAACUGCACUUGAAACUUCUAAUCUAGAGUAUGGGAGGGGGAGAUGGAAUUAGUGGUGUAGGGGUAAAAUCCGUAGAUAUCACUAGGAAUACCUAAAGCGAAGGCGAUCUCCUGGAACAUUACUGACGCUAAGGCGUGAAAGCGUGGGGAGCAAACAGGAUUAGAUACCCUGGUAGUC
rnacentral:rRNA from 1 species